ACGUAUCUCUUCCAAACUUUUCUUUGAUUCCUCAUAUUUUCUUCUUCUUUUUCAUCUUCUUUUAGCUUUGAUUUCUGAUGCAUGUAUGCAACAUACUAAAAUAUUCUCAAAAACUCAACAUUCAACAAUACAAAGAUCGAUGCUUAAUUUUUCUUGUUAACUCAGAAUUUGCAUCAUAAGUUUCAUAUGAACUGAUUAUGAAACUUAGUGAAAAAGCCGGCAUACAAAAAAAUAAUUUAUGCAAUGAAUGCUAGAAGUUUAAAACUGAUGCAGAAAAAGAAGAAAAAAAAAUAUGAAGAAACCAGUGAGAACUAACAAAAGAAAAAAAAUUGUUGUUGAAAUGAUUUUAUAGUCAAUGCGAAAAAGAGAUAAUUUAAAAUUCUAUUCAAAUUAGCUCCAAACCGUUUACGUAAAAAAGUGGGGAUCAUGGCUUUGAUUGAGGAACAGUUGAGAUACUUAUGAAACUUUUUUUUACUUGACACAUGCAGCUUUAUCUUUUCAUCGAAGGGAAAAUGAUACAUUUUAAUUCUGUUUUUAAUUUUUAUUGUUUUGUAAGACUUUUCCACAUGUCACUAUUUGAUUCGCCAGGCGACUUGCGCUUUAGUAUAUAAGGGAUGGGUUCUAAACGAUUAGAGAUGGCAAAUGAGAACUUGAACCGCGGACCUGGUCCAUAACAGUUUGCCACGACACAGGUUUGGACAGCAUUUUUCCAGGCCAUUAUUAAGCGGGCUUCGCGGUCUUGUCCCGCCCAGAAUUGGGCCAAUGUGGGAUGGGCUUUAGUUGAGUUGCGGACCAUUAGAGUCUUUUUUGCGGGUUCGAGAAAAAAUGAAGAACUGAGCACAGCAGGCUUUUUCUUCCUUGUUAGUUCAAAUGGUCUGUAGGUUUGUGAAGGUAAUGAAAGAAUUUUCAUACCGCCGGUCGACCUGCUAAGGCCCGUACAUUUUGCGGAGCGGGUUUGUUCAGCCUUUCUGAAGACCGUAGCCCAGCGAGACAGACCCGUCGAAAUCUGCUUGACAACAAACCUGUGGCGGGCGGAACGGAACGGAACGAAAUGGGACAACUCAUUUGCCAUUACUAUGAGUGAUGGACAUGCUCUUAGAGCAAUCUUAAUGGGAGGUUCUCACAAAAUUCUCAAAGUAUUAAAAUUGAAUAUAUAUUUUAAUUAAGUUUUGAUUUGAGAAUCUCAAAAUCACGAGAACCUCUUCCCAAAGUCUCAAAAUACCUCAAACGAUUUAGAGAUCCCCUUAAUAGAAUAUAAAUAUUAAUUUGUAAAUAUAGUUUAGAUAUUUGGUGUGAGAACUCCCCAUUGUAGUUGUUCUUAGAAACUACAUAAAACAUGUUACUUAAUACGUGUGGCCAUGAACAAUAGGUUUCAUAUAGUUAAAUAUAUAUUGGUAUUAUACAUAUAUUGUAUAUUCAUAUAAUGACAUAUAGUUGGUGUAGAUGAGAGUCAUUUUCUAUCUUAUUCCAAAUUUUUCAUGGACUUUAAUUUAUCUAAAUUUUCAAAUUUGGUUUAUUAAUUUUCUAAAUUGUCAAAUUUAUACCUGAAAAUAAUUCUCGUUUAAAUAUCGAUAAAUUAAUUUGUUGAAUAAUCUAAUGGUGAAUAGACCGCUUGAUUUGGAAGUACUUUUUUACAGCAACAUAAACAAAUUCAAUAAGACUCUGCUAACCAAGAAGGAAACUCCGUUUCCAUAUAAAUAAAAUAUGACGACUGACUUUGUGCACCACGUGCAAGAGUGUAUGUCUUUGUAUUAUGAGUCAUGAGAACAUACUUUAGCUGAAAAGUAAUGAAGCUAUGGUUCAGCCUUUGGACUUCUUCAAUGAGAGUAUUUUAAAAGCUGGUUAUUUCUCUUACUUUGGAAGUACUUUAUAUUAGGCAUGGGACGGAUCGGGUAUCCGGAUAAUUUUAAGGUAUCCGGAUCCGGAUCCUUAUCCGGCGGAUCUAUAAUUUUACUAUCCUUAUCCGGAUCCGGGGUUCUCGGAUAUCUGGAUGUCGGAUAUCCUUUUAAAAAUUGUAAUAUCCAGAUUUGGAUUUAGAUCUUUAAAAUAAAUAAAAAUAAUAUUAAUAUAUAUAAAAUAUUAAAAAUAUUUUUUUUUAAAAUAAUGUAUUUAAUUAUUUCUAUGUAUAAUAUUACAAAAUUUACAUAAAAUUUAUUAUAAAAAUGAAAAUAUAUUAAACAAAAUUAAUUUUUAUAUAUAGAUAUUACUAUUUUUGAAAUAGUUAUUAAUAAAACUUACGGAUCCGGAUAUCUGGACUAAAAAAUUAAGAUAUCCGGAUCCGGCUUUGACGGAUCCAACAUUUUACUAUCCAGAUCCAGAUUCGACCCCUCUGGAUAUCCGGAUCGAAUCUCGGAUCGAAUCCAGAUCUCGGUUAAAAGACUCAUGCCUACUUUAUAUGAAUGUUAUUGGCAGACUUGUUUAUUUUGAAGAUUCUAUUCAUUUUUACUAAUUUUUCAUGUAAGAGACCAUUCAUGUUUGACAUGCAUAUACAUAAAUAAAAUAAAGAAUAUCUUCUAUUAUCUCCAAAGUAUAGUUUACUUGUGAUCUUUAAUUAUAGCUGGUCUAAUUGUCUUAAACAAAAUUUUGUGAGGAAAAUGUCCUUAGCCGGCAAAAGUUGAUGUUAAGUCGCUUUGUUAACCAAUCAUAAUUUGUUCUUUAUGCAUGUUUAAAUUUUUUUAUUAUAACAAUAUACAAAUAUUCAUUAGAUCAUAUGAGUAAAAAGUCUCAUUUUAUAGAUAUUCAUAUAUAUAUAUAUAUAUAUAUAUAUAUAUAUAUCACAAAAACAUUAAUUUUAAAACUGCAUUAAACAAGUAUUGAUUUUUUUUUUAAUUUCAAGAUAUGCAUUGAAUUUUCAUGAACGAUUAUAAAAAUUAUUAAAACUAUUAAAAGUUCCACUUCGAAAAUUUUAUUAUCGAUGGUUAACAUUUUUUUUAUAAAAAAUACAAAUGAUCAUAUGACUGGUCUUUGCUAUGCACAAAUUAAUCAAACCCAAGACGACCUUCUGGCUCGCCUAUCUCUUAUUUUCUUGUUUGUAAGUUCCUCAAAAGUAAUAGAAAUGUUGUUUGAUUUAAAAAGAAACCAAACCAAAGAGCAUAGUACACUACAGGAACGUAUAUAUAUAUUAUACAACCACAGUGAUACAUUUAUUUGACAAUUAGAAACUGUUACUUGCUCACUUUCUCGGGAACAAGCUUGAGAUGAUCCGACUUGUGCAUAGCAAGACCAGUCAUGACAUCCAUGUUGAUCUCUUCUGGUUUUAUUCCGUUGGGAAGUUUGAAGUUGAAGUUGAGGAGAAGGUUCGCGAAAGGAACCUCAAGCAUCGCCGCACCAAGCCGCAUUCCAGGGCACAUUCUCCGGCCUGAUCCGAACGGUAUAAACUCAUAGUCCGUGCCUUUGAAGUCAACGUCCUUCUCAAGAAACCUCUCUGGUUUGAACUCGUCAGGGUUAGGGCCCCACUCCUUCUCGUCGCGGGACACGGCCCAUGCGUUGACGUUGACAGUAGUCCCCGCAGGGAUGUCGUAACCAGCGAUCUUGGUGUCUUGAAUGCAAGCACGAGGGAUAAGGAGAGGAAUCACAGGUUCGAUCCUUAAGGUUUCUUUAACUAAGGCUCUGAAGUAAGGAAGGUUCUUCACGUCGUCUUCAGUAAUGAACGUUGAACCUUUCUCUCUUGCAUACUCUCUCACUUCUGCCUGAGCUUUCUUCAUCACUUGAGGAUACUUCAUCAAAUACGUCAUUCCCCAUACAACCGCCGCAGCCGCCGUGUCAGUUCCCGCAACCACUAUAUUCUUUUGUAACAAAACAAAAACAAUACGAAGAGUGAAACACACGCAACUGAUUGAUUGUAGCACAAGCAACAGUUAAAAACAUAAAUAACAAAAAAAAAUGGAGAAAUGUUUUAGACGUACCAAAAUCACGCCUUUGACAUUCUCUAUAGUGAACUUGGAGGCGAAAGGUUGAUCUUUGUAGAUCUCCAUCAAGAGAUCGAUCAUGCUCUCAGUUUCUGGCUUGGCCCUGUUGGGGUCAAGUGUCUCAUCAAUAAUCUCCUGUAUAUAAGUGUCUUGUCUUUCAAAACACUCCUUCAUAUAAGCCGUGAGACCUGUCCAAUCAUCUAGAAAUCCGAAAAACGG